rnacentral:rRNA from 1 species
GAUGAACGCUGGCGGCGUGCCUAAUACAUGCAAGUCGAGCGAACGGACGAGAAGCUUGCUUCUCUGAUGUUAGCGGCGGACGGGUGAGUAACACGUGGAUAACCUACCUAUAAGACUGGGAUAACUUCGGGAAACCGGAGCUAAUACCGGAUAAUAUUUUGAACCGCAUGGUUCAAAAGUGAAAGACGGUCUUGCUGUCACUUAUAGAUGGAUCCGCGCUGCAUUAGCUAGUUGGUAAGGUAACGGCUUACCAAGGCAACGAUGCAUAGCCGACCUGAGAGGGUGAUCGGCCACACUGGAACUGAGACACGGUCCAGACUCCUACGGGAGGCAGCAGUAGGGAAUCUUCCGCAAUGGGCGAAAGCCUGACGGAGCAACGCCGCGUGAGUGAUGAAGGUCUUCGGAUCGUAAAACUCUGUUAUUAGGGAAGAACAUAUGUGUAAGUAACUGUGCACAUCUUGACGGUACCUAAUCAGAAAGCCACGGCUAACUACGUGCCAGCAGCCGCGGUAAUACGUAGGUGGCAAGCGUUAUCCGGAAUUAUUGGGCGUNAAGCGCGCGUANGCGGUUUUUUAAGUCUGAUGUGAAAGCCCACGGCUCAACCGUGGAGGGUCAUUGGAAACUGGAAAACUUGAGUGCAGAAGAGGAAAGUGGAAUUCCAUGUGUAGCGGUGAAAUGCGCAGAGAUAUGGAGGAACACCAGUGGCGAAGGCGACUUUCUGGUCUGUAACUGACGCUGAUGUGCGAAAGCGUGGGGAUCAAACAGGAUUAGAUACCCUGGUAGUCCACGCCGUAAACGAUGAGUGCUAAGUGUUAGGGGGUUUCCGCCCCUUAGUGCUGCAGCUAACGCAUUAAGCACUCCGCCUGGGGAGUACGACCGCAAGGUUGAAACUCAAAGGAAUUGACGGGGACCCGCACAAGCGGUGGAGCAUGUGGUUUAAUUCGAAGCAACGCGAAGAACCUUACCAAAUCUUGACAUCCUUUGACAACUCUAGAGAUAGAGCCUUCCCCUUCGGGGGACAAAGUGACAGGUGGUGCAUGGUUGUCGUCAGCUCGUGUCGUGAGAUGUUGGGUUAAGUCCCGCAACGAGCGCAACCCUUAAGCUUAGUUGCCAUCAUUAAGUUGGGCACUCUAAGUUGACUGCCGGUGACAAACCGGAGGAAGGUGGGGAUGACGUCAAAUCAUCAUGCCCCUUAUGAUUUGGGCUACACACGUGCUACAAUGGACAAUACAAAGGGCAGCGAAACCGCGAGGUCAAGCAAAUCCCAUAAAGUUGUUCUCAGUUCGGAUUGUAGUCUGCAACUCGACUACAUGAAGCUGGAAUCGCUAGUAAUCGUAGAUCAGCAUGCUACGGUGAAUACGUUCCCGGGUCU